rnacentral:rRNA from 1 species
AACGAACGCUGGCGGCAUGCCUAACACAUGCAAGUCGAACGAGACCUUCGGGUCUAGUGGCGCACGGGUGCGUAACGCGUGGGAACCUGCCCUUAGGUUCGGAAUAACUCCCCGAAAGGGGUGCUAAUACCGGAUAAUGUCUUCGGACCAAAGAUUUAUCGCCUUUGGAUGGGCCCGCGUUGGAUUAGCUAGUUGGUAGGGUAAAAGCCUACCAAGGCGACGAUCCAUAGCUGGUCUGAGAGGAUGAUCAGCCACACUGGGACUGAGACACGGCCCAGACUCCUACGGGAGGCAGCAGUGGGGAAUAUUGGACAAUGGGCGAAAGCCUGAUCCAGCAAUGCCGCGUGAGUGAUGAAGGCCUUAGGGUUGUAAAGCUCUUUUAGCCGGGAUGAUAAUGACAGUACCGGGAGAAUAAGCUCCGGCUAACUCCGUG